UCCCUGGUGGUCUAGUGGUUAGGAUUCAGCACUCUCACUGCUGCGGCUCGGGUUUGAUUCCUGUUCAGGGAA